UACGUAGGGUGCGAGCGUUAAUCGGAAUUACUGGGCGUAAAGCGUGCGCAGGCGGUGAUGUAAGACAGGUGUGAAAUCCCCGGGCUUAACCUGGGAACUGCAUUUGUGACUGCAUCGCUCGAGUGCGGCAGAGGGGGAUGGAAUUCCGCGUGUAGCAGUGAAAUGCGUAGAUAUGCGGAGGAACACCGAUGGCGAAGGCAAUCCCCUGGGCCUGCACUGACGCUCAUGCACGAAAGCGUGGGGAGCAAACAGG
rnacentral:rRNA from 1 species